GAUGAAGAACGUAGCGAAAUGCGAUAAGUAAUGUGAAUUGCAGAAUUCAGUGAAUCAUCGAAUCUUUGAACGCAGAUUGCGCCCCCUGGUAUUCCGGGGGGCAUGCCUGUUCGAGCGUCAUUACAACCCUCAAGCUCUGCUUGGUAUUGGGCCCCGCCAGUUCUGGCGGGCCCUAAAGUCAGUGGCGGUGCCUUCCGGCUCCGAGCGUAGUAAUUCUUCUCGCUCUGGAGACCCGGUUGUGUGCUUGCCAACAACCCCCAAUUUUUUAAGGUUGACCUCGGAUCAGGUAGGGAUACCCGCUGAACUUAAGCAUAUCAAUAAGCGGAGGA
rnacentral:misc_RNA from 1 species